GGUUAAGCGACUAAGCGUACACGGUGGAUGCCCUGGCAGUCAGAGGCGAUGAAGGACGUGCUAAUCUGCGAUAAGCGUCGGUAAGGUGAUAUGAACCGUUAUAGCCGGCGAUUUCCGAAUGGGGAAACCCAGUGUGUUUCGACACACUAUCAUUACGUGAAUACAUAGCGUAAUGAAGCGAACCGGGGAACUGAAACAUCUAAGUACCCCGAGGAAAAGAAAUCAACCGAGAUUCCCCCAGUAGCGGCGAGCGAACGGGGAGCAGCCCAGAGUCUGAAUCAGCUUGUGUGUUAGUGGAACGGUCUGGAAAGUCCGACGGUACAGGGUGAUAGUCCCGUACACCAAAAUGCACAGGUUGUGAACUCGAAGAGUAGGGCGGGACACGUGGUAUCCUGUCUGAAUAUGGGGGGACCAUCCUCCAAGGCUAAAUACUCCUGACUGACCGAUAGUGAACCAGUACCGUGAGGGAAAGGCGAAAAGAACCCCGGCGAGGGGAGUGAAAAAGAACCUGAAACCGUGUACGUACAAGCAGUGGGAGCCUCUUUAUGGGGUGACUGCGUACCUUUUGUAUAAUGGGUCAGCGACUUAUAUUCUGUAGCAAGGUUAACCGUAUAGGGGAGCCGAAGGGAAACCGAGUCUUAACUGGGCGUUAAGUUGCAGGGUAUAGACCCGAAACCCGGUGAUCUAGCCAUGGGCAGGUUGAAGGUUGGGUAACACUAACUGGAGGACCGAACCGACUAAUGUUGAAAAAUUAGCGGAUGACUUGUGGCUGGGGGUGAAAGGCCAAUCAAACCGGGAGAUAGCUGGUUCUCCCCGAAAGCUAUUUAGGUAGCGCCUCGUGAACUCAUCUUCGGGGGUAGAGCACUGUUUCGGCUAGGGGUCAUCCCGACUUACCAACCCGAUGCAAACUGCGAAUACCGAAGAAUGUUAUCACGGGAGACACACGGCGGGUGCUAACGUCCGUCGUGAAGAGGGAAACAACCCAGACCGCCAGCUAAGGUCCCAAAGUCAUGGUUAAGUGGGAAACGAUGUGGGAAGGCACAGACAGCCAGGAUGUUGGCUUAGAAGCAGCCAUCAUUUAAAGAAAGCGUAAUAGCUCACUGGUCGAGUCGGCCUGCGCGGAAGAUGUAACGGGGCUAAACCAUGCACCGAAGCUGCGGCAGCGACACUAUGUGUUGUUGGGUAGGGGAGCGUUCUGUAAGCCGUUGAAGGUGUAUCGUGAGGUAUGCUGGAGGUAUCAGAAGUGCGAAUGCUGACAUAAGUAACGAUAAUGCGGGUGAAAAACCCGCACGCCGGAAGACCAAGGGUUCCUGUCCAACGUUAAUCGGGGCAGGGUGAGUCGACCCCUAAGGCGAGGCCGAAAGGCGUAGUCGAUGGGAAACAGGUUAAUAUUCCUGUACUUGGUGUUACUGCGAAGGGGGACGGAGAAGGCUAUGUUAGCCGGGCGACGGUUGUCCCGGUUUAAGCAUGUAGGCGGAGGUUCCAGGUAAAUCCGGUACCUUUUUAACGCUGAGGUGUGAUGACGAGGCACUACGGUGCUGAAGUAACAAAUGCCCUGCUUCCAGGAAAAGCCUCUAAGCAUCAGGUAACACGAAAUCGUACCCCAAACCGACACAGGUGGUCAGGUAGAGAAUACCAAGGCGCUUGAGAGAACUCGGGUGAAGGAACUAGGCAAAAUGGUGCCGUAACUUCGGGAGAAGGCACGCUGAUAUGUAGGUGAAGUGAUUUACUCAUGGAGCUGAAAUCAGUCGAAGAUACCAGCUGGCUGCAACUGUUUAUUAAAAACACAGCACUGUGCAAACACGAAAGUGGACGUAUACGGUGUGACGCCUGCCCGGUGCCGGAAGGUUAAUUGAUGGGGUUAUCCGUAAGGAGAAGCUCUUGAUCGAAGCCCCGGUAAACGGCGGCCGUAACUAUAACGGUCCUAAGGUAGCGAAAUUCCUUGUCGGGUAAGUUCCGACCUGCACGAAUGGCGUAAUGAUGGCCAGGCUGUCUCCACCCGAGACUCAGUGAAAUUGAACUCGCUGUGAAGAUGCAGUGUACCCGCGGCAAGACGGAAAGACCCCGUGAACCUUUACUAUAGCUUGACACUGAACACUGGUCCUUGAUGUGUAGGAUAGGUGGGAGGCUUUGAAGUGUGGACGCCAGUCUGCAUGGAGCCAUCCUUGAAAUACCACCCUUUAAUGGCUGGUGUUCUAACGUGGACCCGUUACCCGGGUUGCGGACAGUGUCUGGUGGGUAGUUUGACUGGGGCGGUCUCCUCCUAAAGAGUAACGGAGGAGCACGAAGGUUAGCUAAUCCUGGUCGGACAUCAGGAGGUUAGUGCAAAGGCAUAAGCUAGCUUGACUGCGAGAGUGACGGCUCGAGCAGGUGCGAAAGCAGGUCUUAGUGAUCCGGUGGUUCUGAAUGGAAGGGCCAUCGCUCAACGGAUAAAAGGUACUCCGGGGAUAACAGGCUGAUACCGCCCAAGAGUUCAUAUCGACGGCGGUGUUUGGCACCUCGAUGUCGGCUCAUCACAUCCUGGGGCUGAAGUAGGUCCCAAGGGUAUGGCUGUUCGCCAUUUAAAGUGGUACGCGAGCUGGGUUUAGAACGUCGUGAGACAGUUCGGUCCCUAUCUGCCGUGGGCGCUGGAGAAUUGAGGGGGCUGCUCCUAGUACGAGAGGACCGGAGUGGACGCAUCACUGGUGUUCGGGUUGUCAUGCCAAUGGCAUUGCCCGGUAGCUAAAUGCGGAAGAGAUAAGUGCUGAAAGCAUCUAAGCACGAAACUUGCCCCGAGAUGAGUUCUCCCUGAGACUAUAAGUCUCCUGAAGGAACGUUGAAGACGACGACGUUGAUAGGUCGGGUGUGUAAGUGUAGCGAUACAUUGAGCUAACCGAUACUAAUGAACCGUGAGGCUUAACCUU
rnacentral:rRNA from 1 species